rnacentral:rRNA from 1 species
CAACAUCCGCCACGGGGAUUACAAACGUUAGUUUAAAACCCAAAGGACUUGGCGGUGCUUAACAUCCACCUAGAGGAGCCUGUUCUAGAACCGAUAACCCCCGUUAAACCUCACCCUCCCUUGCCUUACCCGCCUAUAUACCACCGUCGUCAGCUUACCCUGUGAAGGCUUAACAGUAAGCAAAGUUGGCAAAGCCCAAAACGUCAGGUCGAGGUGUAGUGAAUGAGAGGGGAAGAAAUGGGCUACAUUUGCUAAGACUAGCAAUACGAAUGAUGCAUUGAAAUAUGCACUGAAGGAGGAUUAGCAGUAAGCAGGGAAUAGAGUGCCCCCUGAAACCGGCCCUAAAGCGCGCACACACAGCCCGUC